UUAAUAAACUUUUAUUUCUAAACAUUUUUAUAUUUUCAAACAUACAUACAAUGUGAAACACUCCACCAUUUUAUAUUGAUAACGUGGGGUAAAUGUACAUGAGACACUAAACUGUUGCAAUACAAUAUUACUUAAUGUCAUUGAAAAACCUGAGAUUCAUUGAUGCAAAGCUAGCAUAUUCAUAGGGCCCCCUUUCAUAGGAAAAAAAUUGGUUGAUUAAAUAGGGAAUCACUGGAGCGGGCCCCUCCCAAGUUAGUCAGCAGCAGCAACCCCCCCCCCCCCCCCAAAUAGAAAAGUUCUUGAUCGGUCACUGGUGUCAGACAUAUACAUGUAUGUACUGUAGUAUUUGAGACAUAAGAAAAAUAAAAGAUAUAAAAG
rnacentral:lncRNA from 1 species